AUCAUCUAUGUAUAGGCUUAUGCCUUUGAACCAUUAAGCUUAUUUUAAGAUUUUUGACACAAAAAUUGCACCUAUUUUAUUGUAUGGUUCAGAAUUAUGGGGCUUACAAAAUAUGGAAAGCGUUGAAAGAGUACAUAUUUAUGCAUGUAAGCGUUUUAUGCUUGCUUCGUUGCAUACAUGCAAUAUACCUGUAUAUGGUGAUUGUGGCAGGUAGCCAUCACAUAUUUAUUCAUGUAAACGUGUUAUAAAAUUUUGGCUUCAAAUUUUACGAAUGUCCGGUCAUCGUUAUGUCAAAAAAAAUGUUAUGAAAUGCUAAGAGUGUAUGAUGAAUUAUGUUAUGACAACUGGGUCACCCAACUUCGUAAAAACUUGUUUGAGAAUUGUUUUGGGUAUGUUUGGGAGAAUCAGUUUGUAAGUACUGAAAACCUUUUUAUCGUACAAUAUUUACAACGUUUAAAAGACCAGUAUUUACAAUUAUGGUGGUCGAAAUGUGAAAUCAGAAUACAGAAUAUUUUAACAAUCUUUGGCUUAUGAAGCGUAUCUUAGUAUUUUAAAUUAUAGAAAGUUUAGAAGAGCUUAUGUAUGUGUAGCAGGGUUGAAUUUUAGUAGCUUCUAACCUAAAAUGUCAAUAAUAUGAUUUACAGGUUUCACGCUACACCGAAUUUGAUUGUGUUAUUUUUUACAGCGUAAUCAUACAGUAUUUAAUAGUACUGCAGAGGUUAAAGGUUAAAAUUAUGUACAAAACAAGUAGUGAUUGGUCGUUUAGGGUUCAGCGUAGUAAUUUUUACUAGUGUAGCGGGAGUUUAAUGGAUCAGCUGACUGUACGAUUGAUAGUGAAAGGGGCAGGACUGUUUUCUGUAGGGAACCCUGUUGUUCCAUCCUGGGGCCUUAGACAAUAUUAGAGAUGUUGUGCAGCAUUUAGAAGUCUUACUAACCAGCACAGUACCGCCACGAGUGAGUGAGCCAGUGUGGUAAAGUGGAGACAUUCAUCUCUUGGAUGAAGGUCGAGAUCUCAUGUUUACGAGAUUGUACGUUUACCAGUUUACUGAAUUACA
rnacentral:lncRNA from 1 species